CCCAACCCUGCUGUGCUGAUGGCGAAGCUCCUGAGUCCUUGGAUUUUGGAGAAGGAAGGGUGAGGAAGAGAUACCAAUUCAGGCAUUCUGGAUUUAUUUGCCAAGAAAGAAAAAAACUUUUUUUCUUUUCUUUUUCUUUAGGUCAGCAGACACGCAGAAGGCUAGUUUAACUCCUUUUUAAGUUGUCCAACAAAACCAGAAAUAGCCAGAAAAAAGGAAGCUUGCCCUGCCUGCAGGCUAGUUUCUCACAUCAUAUGCAUUCAAGCCCUUUUUGCUGUGCAGCUCACUGGUGCGAGGCAGGAACUCACUAUUGUCGCAAGUUGUUACUGUGCAAACACUUGCACAUGGGUAACCACACGUGCUGCACAUGCUGGUUACCACUUCUAAGACCUCGAAUAUCCUUGGAUAAACUUGCUGGGCGCUUCUCUUCUCUAAGUCUCUUUCGGGCACCAGCAUGUGCUCUGAACUGACUGCUUCCCUCUGAAGAAUAAAACCAUCAAUCUCUAUUUCCUGCCA
ensembl:lncRNA